rnacentral:rRNA from 1 species
UACGUAGGGUGCGAGCGUUGUCCGGAAUUAUUGGGCGUAAAGAGCUCGUAGGCGGUGUGUCACGUCGGCCGUGAAAACCUGCAGCUUAACUGUGGGCGUGCGGUCGAUACGGGGCAUCACUGGAGUUCGGCAGGGGAGACUGGAAUUCCUGGUGUAGCGGUGAAAUGCGCAGAUAUCAGGAGGAACACCAAUGGCGAAGGCAGCUCGCUGGGACGGUACUGACGCUGGAGGCGCGAAAGCGUGGGGAGCAAACAGG